GACGAACGCUGGCGGCGCGCUUAACACAUGCAAGUCGAGCGAGAACCAGGCCUUCGGGUCUGGGGACGAGCGGCGAACGGGUGAGUAACACGUGGGUAAUCUGCCCUCGAUUCUGGGAUAGCCCGGGAACCGGACUUAAUACCGGAUAGCCUCUCGAGCUUUCGGGUCGUCGCGAGAAAAGGUAAGCUUCGGCCUCCGAUCGAGGAU
rnacentral:rRNA from 1 species